rnacentral:rRNA from 1 species
UACGGGGGGGGCAAGCGUUGUUCGGAAUUACUGGGCGUAAAGGGCUCGUAGGCGGCCAACUCAGUCGGACGUGAAAUCCCUCGGCUUAACCGGGGAAUGGCGUCCGAUACUGGAUGGCUUGAGUUUGGGAGAGGGAUGCGGAAUUCUAGGUGUAGCGGUGAAAUGCGUAGAUAUCUGGAGGAACACCGGUGGCGAAGGCGGCAUCCUGGACCAACACUGACGCUGAGGAGCGAAAGCCAGGGGAGCAAACGGG